GGGCGUUAAGUUGCAGGGUAUAGACCCGAAACCCGGUGAUCUAGCCAUGGGCAGGUUGAAGGUUGGGUAACACUAACUGGAGGACCGAACCGACUAAUGUUGAAAAAUUAGCGGAUGACCUGUGGCUGGGGGUGAAAGGCCAAUCAAACCGGGAGAUAGCUGGUUCUCCCCGAAAGCUAUUUAGGUAGCGCCUCGUGAAUUCAUCUCCGGGGGUAGAGCACUGUUUCGGCYAGGGGGCCAUCCCGGCUUACCAACCCGAUGCAAACUGCGAAUACCGGAGAAUGUUAUCACGGGAGACACACGGCGGGUGCUAACGUCCGUCGUGAAGAGGGAAACAACCCAGACCGCCAGCUAAGGUCCCAAAGUCAUGGUUAAGUGGGAAACGAUGUGGGAAGGCCCAGACAGCCAGGAUGUUGGCUUAGAAGCAGCCAUCAUUUAAAGAAAGCGUAAUAGCUCACUGGUCGAGUCGGCCUGCGCGGAAGAUGUAACGGGGCUAAACCAUGCACCGAAGCUGCGGCAGCGAACGUAUCACUUAAAGCGAUUCAGCGGGUUACGAUUGACGGAGCGAAGCGACGUCAAAGCGUAUACAAAGUCGAGUCGGUUUAAGGAUACGUUCGUUGGGUAGGGGAGCGUUCUGUAAGCCUGYGAAGGUGGCCUGUGAGGGUUGCUGGAGGUAUCAGAAGUGCGAAUGCUGACAUAAGUAACGAUAAAGCGGGUGAAAAGCCCGCUCGCCGGAAGACCAAGGGUUCCUGUCCAACGUUAAUCGGGGCAGGGUGAGUCGACCCCUAAGGCGAGGCCGAAAGGCGUAGUCGAUGGGAAACGGGUUAAUAUUCCCGUACUUGGUGUUACUGCGAAGGGGGGACGGAGAAGGCUAUGUUGGCCGGGCGACGGUUGUCCCGGUUUAAGCGUGUAGGUGUGUGUUCCAGGUAAAUCCGGUUCACUUUAACACUGAGGCGUGAUGACGAGGCACUACGGUGCUGAAGCAACAAAUGCCCUGCUUCCAGGAAAAGCCUCUAAGCAUCAGGUAACAUCAAAUCGUACCCCAAACCGACACAGGUGGUCAGGUAGAGAAUACCAAGGCGCUUGAGAGAACUCGGGUGAAGGAACUAGGCAAAAUGGUGCCGUAACUUCGGGAGAAGGCACGCUGACAYGUAGGUGAAGUGAUUUACUCAYGGAGCUGAAGUCAGUCGAAGAUACCAGCUGGCUGCAACUGUUUAUUAAAAACACAGCACUGUGCAAACACGAAAGUGGACGUAUACGGUGUGACGCCUGCCCGGUGCCGGAAGGUUAAUUGAUGGGGUCAGCGCAAGCGAAGCUCCUGAUCGAAGCCCCGGUAAACGGCGGCCGUAACUAUAACGGUCCUAAGGUAGCGAAAUUCCUUGUCGGGUAAGUUCCGACCUGCACGAAUGGCGUAAUGAUGGCCAGGCUGUCUCCACCCGAGACUCAGUGAAAUUGAACUCGCUGUGAAGAUGCAGUGUACCCGCGGCAAGACGGAAAGACCCCGUGAACCUUUACUAUAGCUUGACACUGAACAUUGAGCCUUGAUGUGUAGGAUAGGUGGGAGGCUUUGAAGUGUGGACGCCAGUCUGCAUGGAGCCGACCUUGAAAUACCACCCUUUAAUGUUUGAUGUUCUAACGUGGACCCGUAAUCCGGGUUGCGGACAGUGUCUGGUGGGUAGUUUGACUGGGGCGGUCUCCUCCUAAAGAGUAACGGAGGAGCACGAAGGUUGGCUAAUCCUGGUCGGACAUCAGGAGGUUAGUGCAAUGGCAUAAGCCAGCUUGACUGCGAGCGUGACGGCGCGAGCAGGUGCGAAAGCAGGUCAUAGUGAUCCGGUGGUUCUGAAUGGAAGGGCCAUCGCUCAACGGAUAAAAGGUACUCCGGGGAUAACAGGCUGAUACCGCCCAAGAGUUCAUAUCGACGGCGGUGUUUGGCACCUCGAUGUCGGCUCAUCACAUCCUGGGGCUGAAGUAGGUCCCAAGGGUAUGGCUGUUCGCCAUUUAAAGUGGUACGCGAGCUGGGUUUAGAACGUCGUGAGACAGUUCGGUCCGUUCUCCCUGAGACUUAGAGUCUCCUGAAGGAACGUUGAAGACGACGACGUUGAUAGGCCGGGUGUGUAAGCGCAGCGAUGCGUUGAGCUAACCGGUACUAAUGAACCGUGAGGCUUAACCUU
rnacentral:rRNA from 1 species